AUUGAACGCUAGCGGGAUGCUUUACACAUGCAAGUCGAACGGCAGCGCGGACUUCGGUCUGGCGGCGAGUGGCGAACGGGGGAGUAAUGAAUCGGAACGUGCCCAGGAGCGGGGGAUAACUACGCGAAAGCGUAGCUAAUACCGCAUACGCCCUACGGGGGAAAGCAGGGGAUCGUAAGACGUUACACUAUUGGAGCAGCCGAUAUCGGAUUAGCUAGUUGGUGAGGUAACGGCUCACCAAGGCGACGAUCCGUAGCUGGUUUGAGAGGACGACCAGCCACACUGGGACUGAGCCACGGCCCAGACUCCUACGGGAGGCCGCAGUGGGGAAUUUUGGACAAUGGGGGCAACCCUGAUCCAGCCAUCCCGCGUGUGCGAUGAAGGCCUUCGGGUUGUAAAGCACUUUUGGCAGGAAAGAAACGUCGCGGGCUAAUACCCCGUGGAACUGACGGUACCUGCAGAAUAAGCACCGGCUAACUACGUG
rnacentral:rRNA from 1 species